CUGGAGCAGAUGGGGUGAGUCUCUUUGCUGUCAGAUCUUGGAUUAUUCUGGAUUCUGUCAUGGAGAAUGAAAAAGGAAAAGGAAGCCAAGUGGAGGUGUUUUGGAAAAAUCUCAUCACCCCUCGAGUCCCCGUUACCUUGUCUGCAUACUGGGUUCAGAAAUGAUCUGCCUGAAGUUAUGAUGUGGGGAAACACUCUUAAAAAUCCUAGAUAUCUCCACUAGCAAUGCUUUGGUCACCAAGCCUGCUGGAAAAGAAGAAAAGGAAGAGAAAGAAUUCAAGACAUGAGUUGAGGCUGCCGAAGGGGAGUCAAAAGACAAGAAUAUUUAAAAUGUCAAUGGCUGAAGGCCCAUAUCUGUGUCUCAAGGGAGGACUCCACAUUGAAGGAGCACUCGAAAGUGUAGAUCACAGCCAAGCUGCUCAAACUCUGUUCACACCGUACAGGUGUUGAGUGGUACCCGUUGGACCAAAACACCUGCUACUGGAACGAAAGGCAAUCUUAUUCCUGCGUUUUCCAGCCAAAGAUGAGCUGGGAUUCUAGAAGUUCCCAGAGGGAGUUGAAAUGAACAAACUAUGGGAGGAAGAGUUACCUAAGUCAAGAUCCAGGAAUUGGAUUGUCUGCCUUUCUGCUGGUCGGGCCUUUGCUGUUGGAACACCUAAGCUGACACGCAGAGCCACUUUCUCUGUAAGAAAGGUGGAGGCUACCAAGAUGGAGGCCAGUAGAAAUCUUUUUCCUAUGAGAUUUUCUUGGGUAUAUUUUCUAGGAACACUAGACACAAUGAAUGCUCAUUUGAUCACAGUACUUUUAUUGACUUGCCGCAUUAGUUAGCUUGGGCAGCCAUAACAAAAUGGCACACAGAAUGGUGGGCUUAAUCAACAGAAAUCUAUUUCUUACAGUCCUCGAGUCUGGGAGGUCCAAGAUCAAGGUAGGUUCAUCUAAGGCCUCCUCUCUCAGUUUGGAGGUGGUUGCAAUCUCACUGUGUGCUUAUGUGACCUCUUCUUUGUGCACGUGUGGGGAAGGUGGGAGAGCAAGCUCUCUGGUAUAUAUUCUUAUAAGGAUACAAAUCCCAUUGGAUCAGGGCUCAAUGCUU